UACGUAGGGGGCAAGCGUUGUCCGGAUUUAUUGGGCGUAAAGAGCGUGUAGGCGGCCACACAGGUCAGCUGUGAAAACUCGAGGCUCAACCUCGAGACGUCGGUUGAAACCGUAUGGCUAGAGUCCGGAAGAGGAGAGUGGAAUUCCCGGUGUAGCGGUGAAAUGCGCAGAUAUCGGGAAGAACACCAGUGGCGAAGGCGGCUCACUGGCCCGAUACUGACGCUGAGGCACGAAAGCGUGGGGAGCAAACAGG
rnacentral:rRNA from 1 species